UUCAUCUUGCUAGCUUGAUUUACUUAAUGGUUCUUUCUUCUCUAGUAUAGUACUGCUCUUGCUUCUUUCAUGCAAAUAUUGUGCGAAUUUUCUGAUGGUUUACUUGUGGUUUGCAAUUUUAUUAUGUAACUUUUUUUUAACACACACAUAUGCACACCAAACACACACACAUACUCACACUCACACUUAGGUAUAUGACCAUGUAUAUACCUAUUAUCAGCGAUAUAUAACGUUAUUAGCUCAAUUUGCGUAUGUAUUGAUGUAUAACAAUAUAUACCAUUGUUUUCAAAGUGUAUAUAUAUAUAUACUGAUGCAUAUAACUAUACAAUACAUUAGUUAUUCAAUAUAUAUACAGUUACUAAUGUGUAAAAAUACAUUGAUAUGUGUGUGUGUGUGUGACGUUUGUAUAUAUACGACGUGUAUGUACGGAUUUGUGUGUUUGUGUAUAUACAGUGCAUUAAUAUAUACAUUUCUAUAUAUAUUGAUGUAUAUGAUCAUAUAUAAAGUUAUUAUCAGUUUAUACAUUUAUUAACGUAUAUGUACACUGAUUUAUAUACUACACACACGUACAAACACUCACACUCACGCACACGCACUCACACUCACACGCACACUCACACAUAUACACACGUACUCACACACACACUCGCACUCACACACACUCGCACUCGCACUCGCACUCACACUCACACUCAAACUCACACACACUCACACUCACACUCACACUCACACUCACAAAUAUAUAUAUAUUAUCACCUCUAAUCUGAUAUGCUUAGGAAAAAUUCCAUAUUACUUUGUAUAGAAUUAGGCAUAAGAAUGGGUAUCUUCUCUUGAUGAAUUGGGUAUGCUAAAUAUCCAAUUGUGAUAGACCAUUUAAAUUUUUUUCUUAUUUGUACUUGUUUUUAUUAAUAUUGAAGAGCUUCAUCUGCAUCGAGUUUUCUGUUAAAUCAACGAGCAAGAAAGCAACUUAACAUCAAGGUGAAUCUCUUUACGUUAUUCGAUAUUUGAGAUCUUGAUCUUGAUUUGCUUAAUGGUUCUUUCUUUUCAUGUAUCGUACUUCUCUUUCUUCUUUUAUGCAAAUACGGAGUGAAUUUUCUGCAGCUUUAGUUGUGGUUUGCAAUUUUAUUAAGUAUCUUUUUCUUAACACACAAACUCUUGCUUCUUUCAUGUAAAUAUGGAGUGAAUUUUUUGGAGCUUUAGUUGUGGUUUGCAAUUUUAUUAAGUAACUUUUUCUUAACACACAUACACACCACACACACACUCACACUCACACUCACACUCACACUCGCACUAAUGUAUAAGAAUGGGUUUGUAUAUGCACUACUGUAUAAGACUAAGUAUAUACCUAUUAUCAGUUAUAUAUGCAGUUAUUAGCUCAAUUUGUGUAUGUAUUGAUGUAUAGC
rnacentral:lncRNA from 1 species